GACGAACGCUGGCGGCGUGCUUAACACAUGCAAGUCGAACGGUGAAGCGCCUUCCUUUUUGGUGGGUGUGGAUGAGUGGCGAACGGGUGAGUAACACGUGAGUAACCUGCCCCCUUCUUCUGGAUAACCGCAUGAAAGUGUGGCUAAUACGGGAUAUUCUGGGUCUGUCGCAUGAUGGGUCUGGGAAAGAUAUUGUUUCGGUGGGGGAUGGGCUCGCGGCCUAUCAGCUUGUUGGUGGGGUGAUGGCCUACCAAGGCGGUGACGGGUAGCCGGCCUGAGAGGGUGGACGGUCACACUGGGACUGAGACACGGCCCAGACUCCUACGGGAGGCAGCAGUGGGGAGUAUUGCACAGUGGGCGCAAGCCUGAUGCAGCGACGCCGCGUGAGGGAUGGAGGCCUUCGGGUUGUGAACCUCUUUCGCCAGUGAAGCAGGCCUGCCUCGUUUGUGGGUGGGUUGACGGUAGCUGGAUAAGAAGCGCCGGCUAACUACGUG
rnacentral:rRNA from 1 species